AUGGAUCUUCGGGGUAAGGUGAAAUUCCUGACCGGCGGUGAACGUCCUUGAACGCCAAAGCGACGUCAAGCCCGCGACUCCUGCUUUUCAAGCGAUUGAAAGGCAGCGACUGACCUGGUGGGAUUCCAGGGCCGACGGUAAAGUCCGGAUGGGAGAAGAUCAAU
rnacentral:ncRNA from 2 species